UACAUGGGGUGCAAACGUUGCUCGGAAUUAUUGGGCGUAAAGCGCGCGCAGGCGGCUCUUUAAGUCUCGUGGUCAAAUGCCGGGGCUCAACCCCGAGCGUGCCGGGGAUACUGGAGGGCUGGAGACAGGUAGAGGCAAGCGGAAUUCCGGGUGUAGCGGUGGAAUGCGUAGAGAUCCGGAAGAACACCGGAGGCGAAGGCGGCUUGCUGGACCUGGUCUGACGCUGAGGCGCGAAAGCGUGGGGAGCGAACAGG
rnacentral:rRNA from 1 species